rnacentral:rRNA from 1 species
GAUGAACGCUGGCGGCGUGCCUAAUACAUGCAAGUAGAACGCUGAAGGAAGGAGCUUGCUCUUUCCGGAUGAGUUGCGAACGGGUGAGUAACGCGUAGGUAACCUGCCUGGUAGCGGGGGAUAACUAUUGGAAACGAUAGCUAAUACCGCAUAACAGUAGAUAUUGCAUGAUAUCUGCUUGAAAGGGGCAAUUGCUCCACUACCAGAUGGACCUGCGUUGUAUUAGCUAGUUGGUGAGGUAACGGCUCACCAAGGCGACGAUACAUAGCCGACCUGAGAGGGUGAUCGGCCACACUGGGACUGAGACACGGCCCAGACUCCUACGGGAGGCAGCAGUAGGGAAUCUUCGGCAAUGGACGGAAGUCUGACCGAGCAACGCCGCGUGAGUGAAGAAGGUUUUCGGAUCGUAAAGCUCUGUUGUAAGAGAAGAACGAGUGUGAGAGUGGAAAGUUCACACUGUGACGGUAUCUACCAGAA